GUAGAUUCCGGAGUGACGAGGUCAUGCCUUCAUCUUCUUCAUGGGGAUGACUGCACUGCAGAAAAAUUGGAUGUGGGGGAUUCCCAUAUCACUGAAACUACAGAAUAUAAGAGAUGGACAUGAACGUGAAGAUGAAGGUUACAGUUGUCUGAGUAUGAUUAUAGACUUGCUCCAGUCCACUCACGUCCUAUCUUAUCAGCCAGACGGAUUGUCAGUAGCAAUUGGGCGAGCAAAAGUUGCUACGUGGAAAUAUUUGCAAGCAGUGAUACUCAUGUGACUGCACUGCGGGGGUGCACAUUUUCAGAAGAUACAACUAUCAUGGCAAAAAAUUAUAAAUCCAUUUUUGGCACACAUUGAAUUGGCUGUUCUUCAAGGCAGAAUUUGUUGUGUAUUUCCUGGUAGGAUUAAAAAAAUUGUGGCAUAAUAUGUGUAUCUUGUCUAAAGAUUGUCAAGUUUAAUUCAUAUGCUAGUGCAGUAGCACCUUAUGAGAUGACAUCACAAAAAUCAAUCUUGCUCACCCAAAACUGUUGAAGUUGUAGCCAUGGCUGAGAAGAAAAGCCAUGGCGAUGGCUAUAGAAAGAAAUUAGUCGUCUGUCUGUACUGAAGCGGAGAUGGAAAGGUGAAGGUGAAGGCAUGGCAAUAGCAAGACAAUACAACUGUGUGUAAUAAAAUGCUCUCCUCAAAAUGGAAUAUAAUAAAAUGCUCUCCUCAAAGUGGAAUAUGUAAAUGAUCAGCACUUUUUUGCUGAAAUUAACAGAGCUACUCAUGUUGA